GGGCGGCUGUAAACAAACAGGGCGGCGGGCGAUGGCGACGGGCCGUGCUGGGGGGCUGUGAGUGCUGGUCGGCGUCGGGGCGAGGGGUAGCGGCUCCGCUGCGCUCUCCGUGGAGGGGCUGCGGCGGUGUUGCGGGGCUGGGCCUGGCGGCACACAUGGAUGACAGCAAGGUGGUUGGAGGCAAGGUAAAGAAACCAGGCAAGCGAGGUCGUAAACCAGCCAAAAUAGACUUGAAGGCAAAACUUGAAAGAAGCCGUCAGAGUGCGAGAGAGUGCAGAGCCAGGAAGAAGCUGAGGUACCAGUACCUGGAAGAGCUGGUUUCAAGCAGGGAACGAGCCAUCUGCGCACUCAGAGAAGAGCUUGAAAUGUACAAGCAGUGGUGCAUGGCGAUGGACCAAGGGAAAAUCCCCUCUGAAAUAAAAGCCCUGCUAACUGGAGAGGAGCAAGGCAAAGCACAGCAGAACUCAACCAAACUUGCCAAGGCUGGGAAGACAGAAGCAAACAGCAGCAAUCCCUUGAGUGUGUGCAGCUGGUUCUCUCUCACAAACACUGAAGAAAGGAAAUAAGCCUGGAAAUGCUUCCUUUUCCCACUUGCCAUGGAAAUCUAGUGGUCAGCUAGAACCAUUUGCCCAGCUAAAGGGUGAAGAUUAACCUACAUCAAUAAUGAAUCUAGUUCUUCCUGGCAUCCCGUGAAGAGAUGGAAACGAUCUGGCAUCAAAGUUCCAUUUACUACUUUUCAAAAAAUUUAUUAUCUCUAGAAUUAGCUAUAAAAUGACUGUUAAUAUAAGGACCAAAUGUUUGAGACUAAAAAUGCAGAGAAAUCAGAGGAAAAGCUGAAAUAAGAACCCUAGCCCUUCUCAUUAUACUUAAGAGUUGCAGCAUGAGUGCCAGAGGAUCGGCUGAUGUAGAAAUCCUCGUUGUAGGUAAGCAAGGCAAAACGCCAGCUUGUGAGUCUCCUGCUGUUAGUGUCUCUGAGUCUAAUUUCUUGUAAGUUAUGUCACUAACUGAAUUUCUUGUAUGACUCUGAAUUUGUAUGAGAAAACAGAAGCUUGUAAUCUGCAGUGAAAUCUGAGGUAUCCUGUACUGAACAGCGUGUCAGUGGGCUAAAAUUCAAUUGAUGCUGUAUUUAUGGAAUGUAUAGAUUUGUAUAUAGAGAUGAAGAAUUUGUAGUGUCAGUUCUAGUCAUCGCCUUAAGCAAUUUCUGCAAAGGCUGUCGCUUGAUAUUAUUUAUACCAUUAUUUGUAUUUUCUUUAUAUUGUAACUAGAAGAUGCUGUCAUUGUUCAGCUAAUGAUUUUCAGCAACACUUCAUUAAAAAAAAAAAAUUCAACCUAAACAACUGACUUGAAGUUUCUUUUUUUCCCUCCAUAAAAAGCACUUUGGAGGUGGAAGCUCUGCUUCCAUAACUAGUGCAACGUUAGCCCUGGGGUUUUUUUGUGUCUGCUUGUAACUCAUGACUGGCUUAAUGCUGCUAACACUAACUGCUGUUUCAAGCAAUUCUUGUGUAUGAUCUCUUUGUAGUAAGAUGGGUAAUGGUGACGUUCUUAACUGUGCUGCAGCUUGCAGGUGUUCUGAUGAUGAAAUAAUUUUGUGAGUAAAUGACUACCAGUGGAUUAUAAAAUGUGCGUUUUCAUGAGGCAGGCUGUUUGCUGUGAAUAGAAAUAGCUUGCUAUGAAAGGUGACUUUUUCCAUCUUUCUGACGGCAACUUUCAAAAUACAUUUUGAUCAAGUUAUACAGUGCUGGUGAGAGCAGUGCUGCGUGCUCCUGUGGUAGAGCAUACCAGCAAUGUCCUCAGUCCUCGCCGUUUCCGUGCUGUGAAUGCCUGCUGAUGUAAGAACAAUUCUUUCCCAUGCCCUAUCAAACGUAGAUCCUGCCAUGUUGCUAG